AAAUAGAUACCCGGUAGUCCACGCCGUAAACGAUGAGUGCUGAGUGUUAGGGGGUUUCCGCCCCUUAGUGCUGCAGCUAACGCAUUAAGCACUCCGCCUGGGGAGUACGGCCGCAAGGCUGAAACUCAAAGGAAUUGACGGGGGCCCGCACAAGCGGUGGAGCAUGUGGUUUAAUUCGAAGCAACGCGAAGAACCUUACCAGGUCUUGACAUCCUCUGACAACCCUAGAGAUAGGGCGUUCCCCUUCGGGGGACAGAGUGACAGGUGGUGCAUGGUUGUCGUCAGCUCGUGUCGUGAGAUGUUGGGUUAAGUCCCGCAACGAGCGCAACCCUUGAUCUUAGUUGCCAGCAUUUAGUUGGGCACUCUAAGGUGACUGCCGGUGACAAACCGGAGGAAGGUGGGGAUGACGUCAAAUCAUCAUGCCCCUUAUGACCUGGGCUACACACGUGCUACAAUGGAUGGUACAAAGGGCUGCCAAACCGCGAGGUUGAGCGAAUCCCGAUAAACCAUUCUNAGUUCGGAUUGCAGGCUGCUAACG
rnacentral:rRNA from 1 species